CAAUAGCGUAUAUUUAAGUUGUUGCAGUUAAAAAGCUCGUAGUUGGAUUUCUGCUGAUCGCUGUCGGUCUGCCGUCAGGUGUGUACUGGCAGUGUUUGGCAUCUAUUCGAGAUUGGGUGUCCACUUGAUUGUGUGCACUCGAUGUCGGAGCUAAUACUUUGAGAAAAUUAGAGUGUUCCACGCAGGCGCGUGCCUUGAAUACUGCAGCAUGGGAUAUUGGAAGGCCGAUUGAGCUUUCUUGUUGGUUCUCGGUUUGAUCGGAAUGAUUAAUAGGGAUAGUUGGGGGCAUUCGUAUUCAACUGUCAGAGGUGAAAUUCUUGGAUUUGUUGAAGGCGGACUACUGCGAAAGCAUCUGCCAUGGAUGUUCUCAUUGA
rnacentral:rRNA from 1 species